rnacentral:ncRNA from 1 species
CCUAUGCUUUUUUCAGCGGUCCCCUCUUUUGGGGCCCUAGCUUCAGUGCAGUAAAGGGGUUUCGGCUUCCUUUAAAGCAUUGACGCCCGGCCAUGGCUCCCUUGCGGAGCUGUGUUCGGGGCCCCGACGAGCUUCGGUUCGUCGGAGGGGUGGCCCACCACCUCGAUCCCGUCCCUCGAGGAACGACUCGAUGA